UACGGGGGGGGCAAGCGUUGUUCGGAAUUACUGGGCGUAAAGGGCUCGUAGGCGGCCAACUAAGUCAGACGUGAAAUCCCUCGGCUUAACCGGGGAACUGCGUCUGAUACUGGUUGGCUUGAGUGCAGGAGAGGAAUGCGGAAUUCCAGGUGUAGCGGUGAAAUGCGUAGAUAUCUGGAGGAACACCGGUGGCGAAGGCGGCAUUCUGGACUGCAACUGACACUGAAAGACGAAAGCCAGGGGAGCAAACGGG
rnacentral:rRNA from 1 species